AUUGAACGCCGGCGGCAGGCUUAACACAUGCAAGUCGAGCGGGGUGAUGGUGCUUGCACUAUCACUUAGCGGCGGACGGGUGAGUAAUGCUUAGGAAUCUGCCUAUUAGUGGGGGACAACAUUUCGAAAGGAAUGCUAAUACCGCAUACGUCCUACGGGAGAAAGCAGGGGAUCUUCGGACCUUGCGCUAAUAGAUGAGCCUAAGUCGGAUUAGCUCGUUGGUGGGGUAAAGGACUACCAAGGCGACGAUCUGUAGCGGGUCUGAGAGGAUGGUCCGCCACACUGGGACAGAGACACGGCCCAGACUCCUACGGGAGGCGGCAGUGGGGAAUAUUGGACAAUGGGCGGAAGCCUGAUCCAGCCAUGCCGCGUGUGUGAAGAAGGCCUUAUGGUUGUAAAGCACUUUAAGCGAGGAGGAGGCUACUUUAGUUAAUACCUAGAGAUAGUGGACGUUACUCGCAGAAUAAGCACCGGCUAACUCUGUGCCAGCAGCCGCCGUAAUAC
rnacentral:rRNA from 1 species